rnacentral:rRNA from 1 species
GAUGAACGCUGGCGGCGUGCCUAAUACAUGCCAGUCGAGCGAACGGACGAGAAGCUUGCUUCUCUGAUGUUAGCGGCGGACGGGUGAGUAACACGUGGAUAACCUACCUAUAAGACUGGGAUAACUUCGGGAAACCGGGGCUAAUACCGGAUAAUAUUUUGAACCGCAUGGUUCAAAAGUGAAAGACGGUCUUGCUGUCACUUAUAGAUGGAUCCGCGCUGCAUUAGCUAGUUGGUAAGGUAACGGCUUACCAAGGCAACGAUGCAUAGCCGACCUGAGAGGGUGAUCGGCCACACUGGAACUGAGACACGGUCCAGACUCCUACGGGAGGCAGCAGUAGGGAAUCUUCCGCAAUGGGAGAAAGCCUGACGGAGCAACGCCGCGUGAGUGAUGAAGGUCUUCGGAUCGUAAAACUCUGUUAUUAGGGAAGAACAUAUGUGUAAGUAACUGUGCACAUCUUGACGGUACCUAAUCAGAAAGCCACGGCUAACUACGUG